rnacentral:rRNA from 1 species
GACGAACGCUGGCGGCGUGCUUAACACAUGCAAGUCGAACGGAAAGGCCCUGCUUUUGUGGGGUGCUCGAGUGGCGAACGGGUGAGUAACACGUGAGUAACCUGCCCUUGACUUUGGGAUAACUUCAGGAAACUGGGGCUAAUACCGGAUAGGAGCUCCUGCUGCAUGGUGGGGGUUGGAAAGUUUCGGCGGUUGGGGAUGGACUCGCGGCUUAUCAGCUUGUUGGUGGGGUAGUGGCUUACCAAGGCUUUGACGGGUAGCCGGCCUGAGAGGGUGACCGGCCACGUUGGGACUGAGAUACGGCCCAGAGUCCUACGGGAGGCAGCAGUGGGGAAGAUUGCACAAUGGGCGGAAGCCUGAUGCAGCAACGCCGCGUGCGGGAUGACGGCCUUCGGGUUGUAAACCGCUUUCGCCUGGGACGAAGCGUGAGUGACGGUAAUGGGUAAAGAAGCACCGGCUAACUACGUG